AGGACGAACGCUGGCGGCGUGCCUAAUACAUGCAAGUCGAACGGUCUUUUCUAUGGAAGCUUGCUUCCACUGAGAAGAUAGUGGCGAACGGGUGAGUAACACGUGGGUAACCUGCCCAUAAGAGGGGGAUAACAUCCGGAAACGGGUGCUAAUACCGCAUAGUUUUCUUGAUCGCAUGAUCGGGAAAGGAAAGACGGCCUUUGUGCUGUCGCUUAUGGAUGGACCCGCGGCGUAUUAGUUAGUUGGUGAGGUAAUGGCUCACCAAGACGAUGAUACGUAGCCGACCUGAGAGGGUGAUCGGCCACAUUGGGACUGAGACACGGCCCAAACUCCUACGGGAGGCAGCAGUAGGGAAUCUUCCGCAAUGGACGAAAGUCUGACGGAGCAACGCCGCGUGAGUGAAGAAAGGUUUUCGGAUCGUAAAACUCUGUUGUCAGAGAAGAACAAGUUGGAGAGUAACUGCUCCAGCCUUGACGGUAUCUGACCAGAAAGCCACGGCUAACUACGUGCCAGCCGCUGC
rnacentral:rRNA from 1 species